AGGGACGCCCCCACAGGUAGACGAAGAGGGUCCAGAGAAAGGUGGGGAUUCCCUAACCCCUUCUUUCUUGGCACAGACAGGCAGAGAACACCUCUUUUCUCACCCCUGGGCAGCCCCAGGAAGUCAAUCCUUCCACUAUUCCUGCUCCGUGCCUCUCUUCCCUCUGCCCAGAUUCCUGGGAGACUCAAAACCCUGUUCAACUCUCUCUGGGCUAGCUGCUCCCCUCCCCAAGAGGAUUUCUCUCCAGAGCUGGUAUCAUCGCUUAAUGAUGUUCCACCAACAAGGGGAAGAUUCAGCCAUGUCUUCCUAGGAUCCAGCAUCCAAACCUGGACCAAAGUCCUCGGAUCCUCAGCAAUGGGGGUGCAUCUGGUGAUGGUGUUCAUGCUAAAUUUGUGCCAAGAGACACCUGUACUUGUGGGAGAAUUAAUAUUUCACUUCUGUUUAGGUUUCUUUUCUGGGAGCUGCUAUCACUGAAUACAUAAAGAAAUUGAGCCUAUAUGAUUUCAAUCUUCACCUUCUGAUGCUGAUGAAACAGGAUUCUAUGCAGUUUUCCACAGGGAGAAGCAGCAGGCUGAAGUGGCUCUUUAGGGAGACACAUACCUCCACAGGAAGAGCAGUCUAGAUUGUUUUAGCACAUUCCACUUAAGGAUUGCAGUGUGACAGCAGAGAAAAUCCUCUCCAGUCAAGUAAUUGCAUCCAUUUCAUCUUCCCAGCCCUCCUCUAGAUGGGAGGUGGAGGUGUGUGUACCAAUCUCUUAAUUCAGAAAUGAGACAAGAGGAGGAAAAAGGAGUUCCGGAGACUUUGAGUAAAGCUGAUCACCUUACGUAAUGUGAGUGGGUCUCGUCCAAUCAACUGAAGGCUUUAAGAGCAAAGACAAAGGUUUUUCAAAGAGAAAAAGAAGACUCUCCUCAAGACUGUGACAUAGAAACUCUGCCUGAAUUUCUAGCCUGCUGCCCUGCAGAAUUUAGAGUCAAGCCUACAACAUAACUCUUACCUGAAUUCUCAGGCUGCUGACUUACCCUGCAGAUUUUGGACUUGCCAGCCCCUCACAAUCCCAUGAGCCAAUUCCUUAAAAUAAAUCUCUCUUUUUCCCUCUGUAUAUAUUUAUGUCCUAUUGAUUUUGGUUCUCUGGAGAGCCCUGACUACUACACUGAGUGAAGGGAGGGCUUUGCUAAGUGAUCAUGGUCCCAAGGGCAGCCUCUGAGAGCCCGCUCCUUUUGCAGGAUAUUUGAAGACCAGACCUUGAGUCAAAUUCUGCAGCCAAAUUCAAUGCCCAUAAGACUUUCUGCUCAGAAGACGUCAUGCAAAGGGAAUCCCCAGGGCUCUUUAAAUUAGAUCUUCUGUUUGUGCAGACACGUGAUAAAUGUUUUGGGUACAGCCUGGCUCACACCACAUUUUCCACUUUUUGGGUGGAGUCAGUUUUAAUUGACAAGAAGUGCCUUUACAGGUGGACUUUUUUUUUGGUGGUGGAGGGGAGUAGUUAAAACCGAUGCUUUGCAUUCUGUUGGGCAGCAGAAAGAUUGCUUUUUCAAUAAGCAAGCCUUGGGUUUUUCUGAGCCAGUGGUAUGAGAAAUGCCUCUCCUGAAGGCCACCACGCAAGCGAGUCCCCACAGAAGCAUGCCCGAGCUGUCAGGUGCAGGGAGAAAUAUCUUUAGUAAGAGCCGGUCAUGUAAUGAGACUUCCCCACCACAGCAUAGAUGGGCAGAGGGGUUUCCACAAGGACAAUUCUUAAGAAUCUCUGUAAAAACGCAUGACUCCAUCUGUCUCCUCUCUCUUCUUUGGCUUCAGAUGAGCUGAGCCAUUUAAAAAUUCCCCAACAAGGGACCCCAGGCACCAGAAGAAGUGAUGAACAGAUUUUCAAUUUGGCCCUGAUUUGCAUAAAUUUUUUUUUUCUGGCAGUUGAAAUCAUUGAGACUAGAGGCCGGAGAUGGGUAGUAGUGGGUUUUCCCCAUCUGAAGCGGAUUCUUGAUUGGUCUGGAAAGACUGCUGGAGCUCCUGGGUGCAAGGCUCUGACCAGCAGAGCUGGUCAGCAGAGCUGACUGCUCUGGGUGCAGCUUCUCCAGAGAAGGAAGAGAUGGCAAAGAGGAAGGCCUGGGGUUCAGAGAAGGACUUUGCAACCCCAAUGGGGAGUCAGAUCCUCAGGUCUCCUCCUAGAGCGGCUGCCUGGUAACUUUCCCAGUGUCCUUCAGGGAGCAUCUCCUCGUCCGUGUGGCUGGUUUCUUCUGAUAGGAGGCUACCUUGUAAUUUCUCACUGACAGGACAGUGGGGACCCCAGCCAGAGCCUGGGGACUUGGCUGCCUUGGAACCAGAACCUGGCCCCUCAGAGGAGUUGCAGAAUUUCGAUAGAGGAGUGGCAGGAGGUGUACUGGCUGAAGAGGAGGCCCAAGGAACUCCUUUUCAUACAUCAAAACUGAGCUUAUCACCUCUACCCUGAAGUCAUCCUGGACAUCACUGGUCCCAGUUAAUCACUCACUUAUCUUUGCCAUCCUUGACCUGGUGAGUACAGUCUUUAUACCAUUUAUCAAUUAGUUAUAAUAUAUUUAUCAAUUUGUUAUAAUUGGAGAGUUGUAAAGGAUAUUAACCAGGCCCAGUUCAGGCAGUUUACAGGUGUGUGGGCACCCCGUCUGCUAUAGAUCUUUUGGUCCUAGAUUUCUAUAGCACAACGCUUAUCACUUAUUAAGUACUAAAGUUUCUGAUUUUUAUAAACGGAACUGAAAUGAAUCCCAAUUACUGACCUGUGGGACUCCCAGCCCUUUGACAUCUUGGUCCUGCCCAAAGUCAGGAGUACAUUUCCAGAGGGCUCUGCAGUGGGAAAUAGUGGUGGGAGUCUGUGUGUAUUCAGCUCGAUGCAUGCCCUAUGUUAGGUGUUUUCCCUUUUGCAGGCUGGAGUGAGCCCUUGAGCUGACCCAGAAGUUCUGAGCAUUUAUCACCCAGUAUUGAUGACCAUGUAUUUUGCCUCCUCUCUUUAUGCCUAAAGAUGAAGGAAGAAAUACAAGCUCAUGUUACAAAGAGUAUUUCCUGGGUUUAUCAGCUCUCCCCCUCUCAGCUUGAGCUCUGAAUGAUUUCUUAGUUCUCAGCUUUUCUUCCUCUGAUCAAAGUGCCUGAGGCAGUGAGCACUGGGAGGGCAGGAGCAUUUCUGGCUGAGCCCAAUGCUCACCUCUUCUGGGCCGUUUUAGGAAGCUGUGGCCCAGUGUUCUCUGGUCAGACAAGCAUGGCCUGGCUGUGGAAGGGUCUCCAAAGGCUCAUGGGUCCCAGGUGCCCUGGAUUUUGAAGGCAGCUGCCCUGCCUCCACUGGGAGAAGAUUAAAGCCCCCUUUGCCUUUCUUCGUCCCUCCCUUUCCCACUCUGUUCACUCAAUCACUCUUUUCUCUCCAAUGAAUUAAAUGCAGAAAAUCCAUGAGCAGGAUUUCUCUCUUCAAAGGACCAAAUAACCUUCUUUCUAUUCCCCCUAAAUUUUUUUCCAAACUGCAAAAAGAAAACAUGCAAACAGACUUCAAGUUAAAGGUGAGAGAAAGAAAGAAAAAUUGAAGCAAAGUAAUUUUAACUUGAGAAGUAGAGCAGUUUAAACCCAGAAAAAAAAUGUACACUCCGCAAUAUAGUCCUUUCCUACAAAUUAAUUAACCCAAAGUACUUGUUUAAUUAGUGUGAGGGGUAGGGAAUUGAGUAGCUAACAAUAUCUCUCACCCAGUUUAGAAUUAUGUUCACAAAAGAAUUUCUUCUUCUUUUCCUGAAAGGGAAGAGAACGUUGCCCUCAUUGGUCUGGAAUCAGCAGGUACCUCAUGGCUGGAGGUGUAUUUUCAGGUGGGUUGGGACUUUGAAGAGGUGGCUUUUCCUAUGGACCCCUCUGACUCCCCACCUGUGGGCAUGACACAGGUGACCUGGCUGCCAGGGCAGAGGCUGCUUAGCCCUGCUCCAGAGAAACAGAGCUCUGAGGGCUUCCAGAAACCAGGGCUCCUGGCUCCUCAGUCCUUCCCACUCCUCUCUUCCUACUCCCGUGCUGCAUAUAAACUUUUCUUUUUUUUUCAGAUGGAGUCUCACUCUGUCACUCAGGCUGGAGUGCAGUGGUGCGAUCUCAGCUUACUGCAACCUCCGCCUCCCGGGUUCAAGUGAUUCUCCUGCCUCAGCUUCCCCAGUAGCAGGGACUACAGGACCACAGGUGUAUGCCAUUAUGCUCGGCUAAUUUUUGUAUUUUUAGUAGAGACAGGGUCUCACCAUGUUGGCCAGGCUGGUCUCGAGCUCCUGACCUCAGGUGAUCACACGCCUUGGCCUCCCAAAAUGCUGGGAUUACAGGCAUGAGCCACUGCACUUGGCCUGCAUAUAAACUUUUUGAGUUUCCUGCUUUUGACAUGAGCAUGGAUAUUUAUCACUUCUAGAGGCAUUAGGAGAACUCAAGUCCAAGUGCUCAGAGACCUACAGUGCAGCUUAAGACCCUGUCACAGGAAUCUUCGGGGUGGGGGCAUGCACGGGAGUUAUAGAGAGUUGGGGAAGGAUGAGUUCUCAACCAAUGCUUUCCUUUUUUCCACAGACUCCUUUGGCAUCUGGUGAGGCCUGUGGAUUCAUUCUCAGAAUCACAUUUUUAAAUGCACAUAAUAAAAUACAUAGAAUUGCAAAGGAAGUUAAUUAUAUUGAAAUACAGUUAUCAAAAAUAUAAAUAAAACAAGUAUGUGGUACAGUCAUAUGUGUGCUUCUUUAUUAAGUCAUUACAAAGCAAGAUCUAUUUGGAGGUCUAAUAACUGUCAUAUGCUUGAAAAAAUCCUUAACAAUCAUAAUAUAUUAAAAAAUCUGAUUUCUACUUUGGCAAAUCAUAGAUAUUGCUGAAACUGUGGUUUAUUGCCUGCAUUCAUAAUUGAAGGAAAUGCUAGAGUUCAGUGAGAAGGUUGUGAAAAUAAAGAGAGCCUUUUUUUCUCAUCAAG
rnacentral:lncRNA from 10 species